rnacentral:rRNA from 1 species
AACAAACGCUGGCGGCGUGCCUAAUACAUGCAAGUCGAACGGGGAAAGUCCUUCGGGACAAGUACUAGUGGCGCACGGGUGAGUAACACGUGGAUAAUCUGCCUUCUGAUGGGGAAUAACUAGCCGAAAGGUUAGCUAAUACCGCAUAAGACCACAGUGUCUUCGGACACAGGGGUUAAAGAUUUAUCGUCAGAAGAUGAGUCCGCGUCCGAUUAGCUAGUUGGUAGGGUAACGGCCUACCAAGGCGAUGAUCGGUAGCUGGUCUGAGAGGAUGAUCAGCCACACUGGAACUGAGACACGGUCCAGACUCCUACGGGAGGCAGCAGUAGGGAAUAUUGCACAAUGGAGGAAACUCUGAUGCAGCGACGCCGCGUGAGUGAUGAAGGCCUUCGGGUUGUAAAGCUCUGUUCUACGGGAAGAAAAAAAUGACGGUACCGGAGAAGAAGCCCCGGCUAACUUCGUGCCAGCAGCCGCAGUAACAC